AUCAUCUUUGAAGCUGCUUGCCUUGAAUUAUCCUCAAGAAAAAGGUUGAGUUUGAGUUCCCCAUUCACUCUGGUGGAAAGAACUGAUUUGGGUGUGAUCUCCUCCCUUUCAGGAUCAUUUACUGGUGUGUCCUAUUCAGGCAGUCCCAACCCUUUCAGCAUAAUAUCUAAAAGGAUGGGGAAGGAGUCAGGAAAUAAGGAUCUGAGAAGCUUGCACCAGCUCACCUGCAAUGAUAAACUCUGGGAGGAAAGUGCUAGGAUCAUUCCCAUCUUACAGAUGAGGAGACUGAGAAAAGUACAAGAAGGAAAGAGGCAAUACUCAACUGCAGAGACACAAUAAUAUGACUGUGAAAUACUGCAUAACAUAUCUAGAAUUAACUCUAGUAUCAUGACAUACCAAACCAAAAAGUGGUGAAAAAAGGGAUAAUCUAAUGAGGAAGCCCAUGAAGAAGUUAGUAUGAUUUAGUGGAAAGAGCCCUGAACAGGAAAAACAAAGUCCAGAUUUAAGUCCCAUGGUUACCAGGAACUGGCUACACAACCUAAGAAAAGUCAUUAUGCCAAUGAAUCAGUUGCUUCAUGCAAAACGGGAAAUAAAUAGCUGUCUUAUCUCA
rnacentral:lncRNA from 1 species